AGUAUGUAUACCUUCUUACCACAGUAGGGCUGUUUUUUAGGUUGGUUUGUUUUUAAUUGUCCCUAUUUGCAAGAUUAAUCCUUUAUUUAGGGGCAGAGCUAGAUCUAUUAGUUGUCAUCUAAAGAUCAGAUUGGCAGCUUGGAUUUUUUUUUUUUGUAGCUGUUUAAUCUGAUAAGGAGUCUGUUGUAGUAUUCCAUGUUUUGGAAAAUAAGAUCUGAGUAGGAAAAUAAGCUAUGACCAUCUCUUGUGAAGUAGAUACCCAUCUGUAUAAAUUUAGAAAUGAUAAACUUUAUGGUUUAUCAUUCUGAAGGUUUGAGAUUCCAGACUUUCAACCAUAUUGUGUUAUAUAUAACAUUUAUAUUAUACAGUUAUCACUUAUGAGAACAAUUAGUUGAAUUUCUGAGGUGAAUUAGGUAUUAUUUCAAGUCAGUUGUCAAUAAACUAAGAUCUAUAAUCAGAGGAGUUUGUUAUGACUGGGUGUUUUACUGAGUAGCUCAUUUUGGCUCUCAAAUGUUGUCCAUCAAUGCUGAAAUUUUGCGUUAUACAUUAGACAUUUUCUUACUAUUUAGACAUGUCUCCAUUACAGUUGAUGCUUCUGCAAGAGUUUAAUAAUCUUUGUUUUGACUUAGGGAAAGGAGCCAACAAAUAUUUUGAUUAACUGGCUAAAUAUGUUGUUCUAGACUCAGUUGUUUUUAAAGAAAAAAAAAGUUCAUGGAACCACUGUAAACUGUAGAAUUUAGGUUACAUUUUGCUAGACAGCCAUGAGCAUUUUAUUUUAUGGGCCUUUUCACUACUUUAUUGAUAACAUAAAUUUAUAUUGCUGAAGAAUGGGUACACUCAAAGGAAAAUAACAAAAUUUAUUCUUAGUAGUGAACUUCCGUCAAAAGUUAGUGUUGACUGUUAAGGUAAAA
rnacentral:lncRNA from 1 species